rnacentral:hammerhead_ribozyme from 1 species
ACACUGCUGAGGAGUCCCAUACUAGGACGAAACGGCAGUCCAGUGC